GCCGUAAUUCCGAGUAAUGCAACAUCUCACGUGCUCAUAAUUGUCGGCAAUUGUUUAUGAGCGCCUUUGGGUUUACUGAGAAAACUAUUUUAUAUAAAGAUGGAUGGUUUCUUUGAAGUGAAAUUUAUAGUCCGUAUCCUGUAUUUUAUAACGUUUUUUGCCAUGUUUGAAGUCGAGGCUGUUACAAUUGAGUGCAUCAAGUCUGACGAGUGUUCAUGUAAAACAAACACUGCUACACAGCAACAAGAAAUAUCGUUGUGGCCUAUGCAAAG